rnacentral:lncRNA from 1 species
UUGCACUGUUACGCCCUUGUAAGAGGCCUCUGCCAUCUCGUGAAUUCGUGAUAAAACCGUAAUUUUACUUAAUUUUAUUCAGUCAUUUUAUAUCAAAUAUUUUGCAAACUCAAGUCAGUUUUUCGUAUGGGUUUAAAAUAAUUGAAUCUUUUAAAAAAAGUCAUUUUUUUAAACGUUAAUUGCAGCCAAUUCACAUAUUCGACAAUUAAAUGUAAUUAAAUACAUAUUUAGAAACGUCAGGCUAUAAGGCUUGACUAAUAUGGAAUGGUUAAUUGCACAGAACUAGAAAAAUAAAAUAUAUAGCUAAAUAUACUAAUUUCUUCAGUACUGGAAAUAGAACAAGAAAUGUAUUUUAUUGUAAUCUUUUUUUCGAAUUUAUGUGUGUUUCAUAUCUAAUGUACUUUAAAUCCAAAUUAAACUCUUAUUUUGAUAAUUUUGUGUAGGAUUUUACGUUACUGAUAAACUACAUUACCCAGAAGGACACAGCUAUCAUUACUGCGCAUGUGCGAACGGCACAUGGUUUUAAAAGAGCUCGGCGGACACGUGGCUGUUCUUCUCUGCAGCAGUUCGGCAACACGUGGUCUGCUCUAUACCGUAAAAUGGCCGUCCUCCAUUGUGAAGGAGCACCCUUAAGCUCCGUCAAACUGAUGCUGAUGCCUCAUGGAUGAAGAGGCUCUGAAGACCAGACUUCUGGUCCCUCAUUCUCAUUCUUUAGAUAAGGAUGUCCCACUAACAUGACUGUCAAGCCAGAUUCGGAUGCUUCCUUCUAACAUGGUUUAGACAAGGAUGCCCCACUGACAUGACUGAAGUCAAUCCAGAUCCAGCUGCUGCCUUCUAACUUGGUUUAGAUAAAGAUGCGUCACUGGCAUGACGGAUGACUUCAAGCCAGAUCCAAGUGCUUCCUUCUAACAUGGUUUAGCUGAUGCCUCAUGGUUGAAGAUGGGACUCCAGACCUCAGGCUUUGGCCUAACAUGGUUUUUCUCUAGGCCGUAUCCUGUGGAUCCUUCCAUGGCAAACAGUUCAGUUUACUUCACUCAAUAUAACCCUUCUGAUUCCAUAAUGUAAUUGACGAGUCAUGUUACUCUUUGAUUUUAUGUUUUUUUUUAGUUUUUUAGUAAAUCAAUUUGACAGCUCUAGUCCUGUUACACGUUUGACAUUUACACAGUAGUUUUGAUAAAAUUGAUUAAAUCUGGUAUGUUUCUACUAAAAGUAAACUGGAGAAGUAAAAUCCCAUGUAUAUUAAUAGUAACAGUUCUGUUUAGUUUUUUAUCCUGGAAAUAUGACCAGUCAGAACUUUAAGUGCUAUAGAU